UACGUAGGGUGCAAGCGUUGUCCGGAAUUAUUGGGCGUAAAGCGCGCGUAGGCGGCUACUUAAGUCGGAUGUGAAAGCCCUUGGCUCAACUGAGGAAGUGCACCCGAAACUGAGUGGCUUGAGUACUAAAGAGGGUCGCGGAAUUCCCGGUGUAGAGGUGAAAUUCGUAGAUAUCGGGAGGAACACCGGUGGCGAAGGCGGCGACCUGGGUAGAUACUGACGCUGAGGCGCGAAAGCGUGGGGAGCAAACAGG
rnacentral:rRNA from 1 species